rnacentral:rRNA from 1 species
GAUGAACGCUGGCGGCGUGCCUAAUACAUGCAAGUCGAGCGAACGGACGAGAAGCUUGCUUCUCUGAUGUUAGCGGCGGACGGGUGAGUAACACGUGGAUAACCUACCUAUAAGACUGGGAUAACUUCGGGAAACCGGAGCUAAUACCGGAUAAUAUUUUGAACCGCAUGAUUCAAAAGUGAAAGACGGUCUUGCUGUCACUUAUAGAUGGAUCCGCGCUGCAUUAGCUAGUUGGUAAGGUAACGGCUUACCAAGGCAACGAUGCAUAGCCGACCUGAGAGGGUGAUCGGCCACACUGGAACUGAGACACGGUCCAGACUCCUACGGGAGGCAGCAGUAGGGAAUCUUCCGCAAUGGGCGAAAGCCUGACGGAGCAACGCCGCGUGAGUGAUGAAGGUCUUCGGAUCGUAAAACUCUGUUAUUAGGGAAGAACAUAUGUGUAAGUAACUGUGCACAUCUUGACGGUACCUAAUCAGAAAGCCCCGGCUAACUACGUG